rnacentral:misc_RNA from 1 species
GUCCCAGCAUCAGUACGAUGAUAGAAAUUCCACACCCCAAUCUUCAACACCUCCAAGGAAAGGAAAUAUUCUCGUCUCUAGGCAAGGUCCAAGACCUUACGGUACUCCAAGAAAUGUUGUUAGAGCGAGACCAGCCAGUGCCUUUGGUGCCCCAUGUGAACAGUUCAUUCCAAAGUGAUCAAUCGGUAAAUUCACCGAUGAACAAUUCUAGACCAAAUAGACUAGACCUGAACAACUCCAUAUCAAAUCAAAGUCAUAGUGAUAUUCGUGGUUCAUAUGAUGAUUCAUACAAUAACGGACCUACUAGUGCUCAUACAAAUGGACCAGUUCAUAAAACGAGUGUAAGUCACCGCUCCAAUCCGAGCAGAAUGGAACGACCCAAAUCAGUUCCGCCGACCAUGUUUAAUCAACAGGGGAGCAGUGACUCUGAUUCUAGUUAUAACAUUGAGUACCAGCAAAAUCAUGUAGGUAAUAAAGGUACUCCCCCUGUGCCCCCUCCCCGUAAAACUAAAGAUAUCUUAACAAGCGGACGGUACAGUAUUCUCCGAGAACCAUCUUCACCAACCAAACCAAUGUCUGGCAAUGCUAAUCGAGGUCAUUGGAACGGCAGUCCAGGAGGGACACAAGUUCCACGGGGUCAGACUCCAACAUCGCAGAGAUCAGGCCCACCUUCAACAAAGUCAUCAAACAGUAAGCCACCCCCUCCCAAACCCAUGAAUUCAGAAGACGGGGAACACAAAGAAAACUCAAUCUGGCGAGCAAAGCGAGUUACUUUUGAUAUAGAGGGUCUUCCAGAAUCUCCUAUACUCUAAGCUUAGAGCUGCUGAGCUUUUAGUCUGCUUUAACCAUGUGAGGUACAAAACUGCAAGUUUUUGUAGAACGACCAAUAACCAGGGCAUUGUUUCUAUACAUACAUUUGAUUUUUUUUUUUUCAAUGUUUUGAAAAAAAGGGGGUUUGGCUCAUCACGGGACACAUUAUAAAGUAUACUUUGAAUUUUUUAGUAAGCACAAAAUUUUAAUGUAGAUUUAAUAAUGUUGAAAGACAAAAUAUUUGAUGGUGUUUAUUUUGACUUACUUUCAAUAUAAUGCCCUGUGAUAUUGGUUGUAGAUAGAUAAACAAUAUUCACUGCCCAUAUAAACAUGGUUGACCUAUGUUUGUGUGUCCAGACCCUACUGUGUGUCUGUAUCUGGUCUCGGAUUGUAGCCAUAGUCUGCUUGAGCUUGAAUGUCUUUAUGGGUGGGACAUAAAAUUAGUUUUCCAAGUUAGAGAGAAUGAUAAAGUUUCCAUUAGUGAGAGUAGGCUUACAUUUCAGUUUGUCAUCACAUUCCAUUAAUUAUGUUUCCAUAUUUUACAUUCAUGUGGCAGUUCUUUGUUCAUUUGGGUAAUUUCUGUUCAUUUAAGAAGGUUUUGCACCAUUCAUUAUCAGUAUCAUCAUCAUCACUUAUCCAUAUUGAAAUCUGACUGUUAAUUAGGUUUUUCAAUUUUAAGCAUUAUCUUCUUGCAUUUAAAAUACAUAAUAAAACUUUAUGCACUCUGCAGUUGGAGAACAGAGAUGAAUCUGAACGCGACACGACUCUAAAGGUGGCCAGUUCUGCUUGACUAGUGCAUGGAAGGCUUGGGAUUUGUUAUUGUCUCCCCUUACAGGAUCCCUGCGUAGUGCAUGGAGCGAAAAAUGUUGUCUCGUCUACAAGAAGUAACAUUCUGAAAACGCCUAACAAUUUCUUAGCUGUAGCUUUGGUUUUGGUGUUGUACACGUACGAAAACCUUUCAAUAUUUUUAAGACGUGCAUGCAUGUAUUGCUUGUCUGUGAAAGAGUUACGGUGUAGAGAACUGUAAGAUAUAUAGUAUAUAUAUAUAUAUAUAUUUAUAUGGUAUAGGGACAUUGCAUUAAAAGGGUUGAUUGAAAGGGCCAGGCUUGACAGGGAACCAGCAGUUACUUCAUAUAUAAAUAGAUCAGUAGACGCUAGAAAAUGUGUUCAAAAUUGAGUUUUAUGAACUGUACUGGGUUUUACACUGUUCCAUCCGUCUUCUGCUUCUGUUAAUAUUGUUUAGAUCUUUGUAGAACAUUUUCAUAUUUCUGUUGUAAUUGGAUAAGCUGUGUGCUGAUUUUCUGUUCGUAAUUGAUUGUCCUGAGAACUUGUUUUUAAAGUAUGAAAUUGUUUCAUCAAUUUUUUUUUCAUGGACAUAAUUAUCAGAUUCCAACACACUAUUUAGUCCCCUUAUAUACUUUUAUCACCUGCACAAAGUAAUAACUUAAUAUAGUUAAACCUGUAUUAAGUAGCCAGCUAGUGGUGUGACAUACUCUGUCUGCUUAAGACACAUUGAAGUUAAAACAAGAAGACAGAGCCACACCAUGAGAAAACCAACAUAGUGCAUUUGCGACCAGCAUGGAUCCAGACCAGCCUUCGCAUCAGGAUCCAUGCUGUUUGCUUUCAAAGUCUAUUGUAAUUAGAGAAGCUGUUAG